rnacentral:rRNA from 1 species
GAGUUUGAUCGUGGCUCAGAUUGAACGCUGGCGGCAUGCCUUACACAUGCAAGUCGAACGGCAGCAUGAUCUAGCUUGCUAGAUUGAUGGCGAGUGGCGAACGGGUGAGUAAUACAUCGGAACGUGCCCUGUAGUGGGGGAUAACUAGUCGAAAGAUUAGCUAAUACCGCAUACGACCUGAGGGUGAAAGUGGGGGACCGCAAGGCCUCAUGCUAUAGGAGCGGCCGAUGUCUGAUUAGCUAGUUGGUGGGGUAAAGGCCCACCAAGGCGACGAUCAGUAGCUGGUCUGAGAGGACGAUCAGCCACACUGGGACUGAGACACGGCCCAGACUCCUACGGGAGGCAGCAGUGGGGAAUUUUGGACAAUGGGGGCAACCCUGAUCCAGCAAUGCCGCGUGUGUGAAGAAGGCCUCGG